CCGAAUGAGCUACCUGCAGUCGAGGGGUAAAUAGAGAAGCUUGCUUUUCUGAUGACGACCGGCGCACGGGUGCGUAACGCGUAUAGAAUCUGCCUUUUGCUGAGGAAUAGCCCAGAGAAAUUUGGAUUAAUGCCUCAUAGUAUACAGAUUUCACAUGAAUUUUGUAUUAAAGGUUACGGCAAAAGAUGACUAUGCGUCCUAUUAGCUAGAUGGUAAGGUAACGGCUUACCAUGGCGACGAUAGGUAGGGGCCCUGAGAGGGGGAUCCCCCACACUGGUACUGAGACACGGACCAGACUCCUACGGGAGGCAGCAGUGAGGAAUAUUGGACAAUGGAGGCAACUCUGAUCCAGCCAUGCCGCGUGCAGGAAGACUGCCCUAUGGGUUGUAAACUGCUUUUAUACAGGAAGAAACAGUUCUACGUGUAGAGCCUUGACGGUACUGUAAGAAUAAGGAUCGGCUAACUCCGUGCCAGCAGCCGCGGUAAUACGGAGGAUCCAAGCGUUAUCCGGAAUCAUUGGGUUUAAAGGGUCCGUAGGUGGAUAAUUAAGUCAGAGGUGAAAGUUUGCGGCUCAACCGUAAAAUUGCCUUUGAUACUGGUUAUCUUGAAUCAUUAUGAAGUAGUUAGAAUAUGUAGUGUAGCGGUGAAAUGCAUAGAUAUUACAUAGAAUACCAAUUGCGAAGGCAGAUUACUAAUAAUGUAUUGACACUGAUGGACGAAAGCGUAGGUAGCGAACGGGAUUAGAUACCCCGGUAGUCUACGCCGUAAACGAUGGAUACUAGCUGUUGGGUUUCGGCUCAGUGGCUAAGCGAAAGUGAUAAGUAUCCCACCCUGGGGAGUACGUUCGC
rnacentral:rRNA from 1 species